UUGGGCGGCGGAUCUGCAGAGUUUCGAGGUUCUGUCAAGUUCGUUGCCCGCCGCCCAACUUGAAGCCUCAUUUACCUUUCGGCUACCUGAUUUGGAUAAAUGGAGAAAAACCGGGGCCUCUAACUCAUAAUGCCCUCCCGCGUUCAAGAUGCCAGUUUUGGGGCGGAGAUUUCUAAAUCAAAGCCUACAUCCCGCGCGGGAAUAUCUGCUGGUAAUUUCUCGCCUGCCAGAAAACCCCUUUGAUCUCUGGCUGUGGAGACUCGGGACCCCUACCCAAGUAUGGGACACUGCCUCCGUUGGGGUUAUCUCAGGGUUAUCAUCUGAAAAGGGGAGCUGUGCUUUAGGCUCUUUUGACAUCACUACUCCCAGCACAAAGAGCUGCCACUUUGGGAAUGUUGAGUAGGAGCAGUGAAAACAAAAUGUCCCGUCUGGAAGGAAACUGGGAGGCCAGCUCAUCCAGCCUCCACUGCUCCCAAAGCCAGAAGUUGCUUC
rnacentral:lncRNA from 1 species